rnacentral:rRNA from 1 species
GACUGAGACACGGCCCAACUCCUACGGGAGGCAGCAGUGGGGAAUAUUGCACAAUGGGGGAAACCCUGAUGCAGCGACGCCGCGUGAAGGAAGAAGUAUUUCGGUAUGUAAACUUCUAUCAGCAAGGAAGAAAAUGACGGUACUUGACUAAGAAGCCCCGGCUAAAUACGUGCCAGCAGCCGUGGUAAUACGUAUGGGGCAAGCG